UACGAAGGGGGCUAGCGUUGCUCGGAAUCACUGGGCGUAAAGCGCACGUAGGCGGACUCUUAAGUCGGUGGUGAAAUCCUGGAGCUCAACUCCAGAACUGCCUUCGAUACUGGGAGUCUCGAGUUCGGGAGAGGUGAGUGGAACUGCGAGUGUAGAGGUGAAAUUCGUAGAUAUUCGCAAGAACACCAGUGGCGAAGGCGGCUCACUGGCCCGAUACUGACGCUGAGGUGCGAAAGCGUGGGGGAGCGAACAGG
rnacentral:rRNA from 1 species